ensembl:lncRNA
UUGUGAUUUUGGUCUAGAUAAAUGAGCAGUGGCAGAGCAUAUUGUCUGGACAAAAAAAAAAAGUGUCGAUCCAAAUUCUGCUAUCAGGUAAUUGGAUCUGUGCUGUUUAUCCAGACCUGUGUGGGCAGAAGUUCAGGCUGCCUCUUUUGCAGAGAGGGCUGAGAAGAAAGCCUUACUGGUGGAGGACUUUGGAUUUCUGCUUCACUCUGGGCCAAUCUCUGCACACUCAGAUGAAUUUAUUUGCACCAGAGGCAGCAGCUCUCUCCCCUCAGCAACAGCACGUGGCUCUACAGAUGGGCCGCGUGUGUCAAUAUGGACCUAAGUGUGAAGUUUGAAAUGAUUUCCCCUCCUUCUUCCCUGACACAAAGGUCUCCUGGGGAGGAACUGGUUACCGAGUCGAAAAAAAUUGCAGAGGUGAUCCCACAGCUGGACAGAAAAAUGUGAGUGAGGAAGGACACAGCACAGCAAGUCUGCAGCUGCUUGAUUUUCACCUCUCGUGAUCAGUCCCCUUUUCUGUGGUGAGAGCAGCAGGCUUGAAUCAGCAUGCUGUAAGUUGGUCAAAUGCAACUGAACUCUGUGUCCCCUAAACUAUACCUCUGCUCACUGAAAGCCGUUCAUAGCACUGUUCAGACAAAUGGCUGGUGACUGGUUUUCCACUCAUCUCUUGAAGAUAUCAGUAUCUAGAAGAUUCCUGUGAUCUGUUCAGGUAUGCUGAAACAGGCAAAGAAUUCCUUAAAUUAUG